rnacentral:lncRNA from 1 species
UGUGGGUCAGGCUGUGUGGAUCUAAGAGAGUGUGUAGUGUCCCAUGUAAUGGAUGGCUCUUUAGGUUCAGAGGCUGGAUCCAGACACAUCUGGAUAAUAGUGGGAAGUUGACCCAAAGGGGUUGACAUCUCUAGGGACUUAGACUAGUUACAUUUAGAGCUAAUAGUCUUUGCUUCUGGAAGGCUAAUUAUCCCGGAGCUGAGUUGGUAUCCAAAUCGGCCCUUGUACAUCUGGGUCCACAGAAACCAGGUACAGUAAAAAGCCACCAGUACUAGCACCGGUGCUCACUGCUUCUCGUCAACAGGGUUUGGGUAACUCUCAUUUCUUUGUUUUACCCGACAUGCUCUGUAACAUAUCUGAGCGGAGCCGGAAACAGGAAGGGUUUAUGUUUGGUAUUCAGUAUUGAAAACACUGUUACCAUUUGUGUCCAAAGGCAGCUACUCCUGUGAACUGGCAGAUCAGAGAUCCAUUGGGUAGUAGGUGGAGGCCACACUUAAAAAUUAUCUAAAGAAGUUUGGAAAAUAGAAAGAUAAUUUAAAAUAUUUUCUUUUCACUUAGGUAAAUGUGUGUAUAUCUGUGCCCAUGUAUGUGAGCGUGGCUGCAGGUACCCACGGAAACCUGAAGGAGGGGCUUUUAACAAUGGAGUCAUCUCUCUAGCUCCUAGAAAGAUGACUUUUUAAAAAUGAGCUCUAAAGCUGGUAAGAACCACCAGCCGCCCACCAGCUGCACCCCCUUCUGAGCAGUGUGCACCCCCAUUCAACUGCUUCCUGCCAUCUUCAUGUUUGCUUCCCCUGUGGAGGGGCCCUUUCCAACAAGACUUACUAAAAUUUUCUGUUAACGCCUCACCUUUAAAUCAGUGCAGGAAAACCAGCACAAUAAAACCCUUUGUGUGUGUGUGUUUGUGUAUGUGUGUGUGUAUAUGUGUGUGUAUAUGUGUGUGUGUAUGUGUGUGUAUGUGUGUGUGUAUAUGUGUGUGUCAUUGACUAUUUGAAAUAGUCUAUACAUGCAAAUUAUAAGAUUUAUCUCCUUUAUGCCAGGGAAUAUUAUUCCUGUCUUUGAAAUUUUAAGCAUUCUGUUAAGGAAAAAUUCAAACACAUGCAGAAAUAUCAGGCUAGCAAUCCAAAGCGCUUCAUGCACUGGAUUACCCAGACUUGCUGCAAAGAUCACCACUCUCUGUGAAUUUUAAUCUCAAUCCCUUGCCUUUUUUUUUUUUUUUAAUGCACGUGAACUGAGAUAGUAUACAUCUAAAGCCAUAUGUUACUUAACAAGAGGGGAUGGUUCUGGGACACUUUUGUCAUUGUGGAGUCAUCAUAGAGUACACUUGUGUAAACUUAGUGGCUUAAGAUGUCACUAGUUGGUUGAAUAUUAAAGAAUAUAAAAUAUCAUAAGCCAGGUGUGGUGGCACACACCUCUAAUCCCAGCCCUCCGAGGCUGAACUGUGGAUUCCUGUGAGGUUUUGGGCUAGCCUGGUCUACAUAGUGACAGCCAGAACAGCCAGAUCUACAUAGGGAGACUGUGGUAACAUCACUACUACCACCAACAACAACCACAACUAUAACAACAGCAAACAACAAAAAACAAACAAAAGAACACCAUCAGAAAUGCCGUCUGUCAUCGAAUAAACAUCCUUACAUAGGGGGUGUUCAUCUCUUUUCCAUCAUGUGCUGCAUGUAAAAUGAAGUCAGGGUUUGAGGAGGGUCAUUUUCUUAUUGGUUCAUAUAGGUAUUUAUGAAUGUAUGCAUAGUUACCUCUGUGUGUGUGUAUAUAUAUAUAUAUAUAUACAUAUUUAUAUAUGCAUGUAAAUAUGAAUAUUUAUAGAUUUGUGGAUAUGAAUAUCUAAUGGUAGCAUUAUCCUCACUCUUAAUUUUUAAGUGUCUAAAACAGGGGAAUCAUGCAAUGAAUUGAAAGCGAAGGAGACAAUAACCUUAAGUGGAGGUAUUAAUUUCAUAUUAUAUUCUGGCUUUCUGGAGCAUCUACCGGUGAUUCCUUUAGCAAGAAUUAUGAUUACUCUAAGAGUUUCCCCUCUCAGGGGAACUUUCAGUCGC